CACAAGCUUGGUCCUGGCUUUACUGUCAGCUUUGAUUAAAUUUAUACAUGCAAGUCUCCGCCCUCCUGUGAGAAUGCCCUACUUAUGCCCUGUACUGGGAAAAAGGAGCAGGUAUCAGGCACAACCCUAACUUAGCCCACGACACCUUGCUUAGCCACACCCCCAUGGGAAUCCAGCAGUAAUAAACAUUAAGCCAUAAGUGUAAACUUGACUUAGUUACUAUCAUUUAAGGGCCGGUAAAACUCGUGCCAGCCACCGCGGUUAUACGAGGGGCCCGUGUUGACACACACCGGCGUAAAGAGUGGUUAAUAGAGUUUUUAACUAAGGUCGAACAUCUUCAAGGCUGUUAUACGCACCCGAAGACAGGAAGUGCCCCCACGAAAGUGGCCUUAAAUAAUAUGAAUCCACGAAAGCUAGGGAACAAACUGGGAUUAGAUACCCCACUAUGCCUAGCCCUAAACCAAAACACCAUUUUACACCAACAUUCGCCAGGGGAAAACGAGCCCCAGCUUAAAACCCAAAGGACUUGGCGGUGCUUUAGACCCCC
rnacentral:rRNA from 1 species